rnacentral:rRNA from 1 species
CGAACGCUGGUCGCGUGCUUACACAUGCAAGUCGAGCGGAAAGGCCCUUCGGGGUACUCGAGCGGCUACCGGGUGAGUAACACGUGAGUAAUCUGCCCCUAGCUCUGGGAUAGCUCCGGGAAACCGGGAUUAAUACCGGAUACGACCACUACGGACAUCUGUUUUGGUGGAAAGAAUUUCGGCUAGGGAUGAGCUCGCGGCCUAUCAGCUUGUUGGUGGGGUAACGGCCCACCAAGGCGACGACGGGUAGCCGGCCUGAGAGGGCGACCGGCCACACUGGGACUGAGACACGGCCCAGACUCCUACGGGAGGCAGCAGUGGG